GCUCACGGUCUGACCAUUGGAAUCUAUACAGCCUUAAAUUUUUUCGUAAAGUAAACCAUGAAACUGUUGACUGCGACCAUUUCAACUAGUUCUAUUUCCGGAUAGCACUUUAAGCUCCCGUUUUAGUAUAAUAACUAUUUUAAGGGAUUAUAACUUGGACUUCCAAUAUGUCGACAUGGAUAAACAGCCUCAAGUCAACUUUGUUAUGCAGGUUGUUGAGAGCAAUAUGAUGAGGGAAGGCAGGAAAGAGUACCAGUCUUACAGUCUGUAUGUACUCGUUGCAAAAUGGUGUUCGAGCGUUGGCGAAUAAGGAUUUGCUUGCAGCGUUGAAGAACGAUACUAUGCAACAGAAAGGAAGGUUCUCUUAACAUAGAAAGUAAAGAAAUAAUGAAGUUCACACUACAGUUGACAAUCUGGAUGUGUUUUCUUUGUUAUUUGAACAUGAUUUAUUUUAACUAACAUAACAAGUAUGCACUACAAUAAUGAAUAUCUAUAUUAAUAGUAAUGAUAUUCCAUUAAACAUGGAUAUGGAAAAAAUAUUCUUUGACAGUGCAAGAUAAGAUAAAUCCAGACAUAGUCAGAGUCUUCAGUUAACUUGGAUGUGUUCCAUUUGUUUCAUCCACAUACUUGAAAUUUGUCUUGUAACUACAUGUAUUUUUAUGAGGUUAAGUGGUGAGUAAUCAACCUUUAUCAUGACAUUUUCUUAUUAGGGGAUAGUAUGUAUUUAUGUUGACACUAUGUGUACCUUCAUUCUUUUCAUUUUUCUGUAUGAAACAAGACCAAAUGUGUCAUUUUAGUUUAACCAUUUUAAACUGUAUUUAUAAUACUCUUCAUUGAAUAGCCAUUCGUAUAUUAUCAAACAUUUUAACAAAUUUAAAUGUGUUGUUAUUUUGAUUAUAUUGUAUCGGUGUCAUAGGGUACAUGUCCAUUCCUAGCCUUCAAGAUAAAACAGAUAUAUCCUUUGUUGUAAAAUGUGUUCUUUAUGCAUAAACAUAUAGAGUGGCUACAGAGAACUAAACACUUAGCAUUUUUCUUACAAAAUAUCUAAGGGUAGUCCUGCAUGUGAUUGCUACAUUCAGUGUGCCUCAUGUUUUAUAAUACAUUAUAUCAUAUAUGAUCAAUAAAACAG